UAAAAUAGUAUUUCUAAAAAGAAUUUAUGAUUUGCAAUUAUAAGGUGUAAUGUGUAAGUAUUACCUAUUUUAU
rnacentral:tRNA from 1 species